CAUCAAGGAGGAGGAUCUUGGGUGACUUAAGGAUUGCUCUGGCAAUAGCGAUCCUUUGCUUCUGUCCUCCAGACAUUUGGAUACCACGCUCACCAACCUGUUUUUAUUUUGAACAUGAAUAAAAUGAACUAGAUGCAUGAGGACUUAUAAUCAAGGUUGUCAAUAGUUGUAGAUGAGUGCAGAGAAUGGUCAUUUCUGAAGCAAACUGACGUGAUAAGGAGUGCUAGUACUAGUAUUAUACUCCUACUAGAAGGGGCUACGCUGGGGAUACUUGGAGUGCUCCAAAUCUACUUCAACUUACUAUAUGUGAGCACUCCUAUUUCAAGUCCUUUCUAUUCAUCCAGUAAGGCCAGACAUCUGUAGAAGAACUUCAAUUUUGAUGUGGGUCCUUGAAUACCUGUUGAUACAACCAUGUACUAAGUACUAUCCUAACCAUUUCCAGCACUGUCAAGCAGUUACAUUUGUUCAAUUGGUGUUUGUUUGUUGUGAUGACAAACAUUAUUAUUUUGUUAUACUCUUUAACUUAGAGAAUAAUUUAAGCAGGCAGAGAUUUCUUGGGAACACAGUGCAGACAGCUCUCUGAAUCUCAGAUUGGAGCAAGGACCCAUGUCCUCAGCCAGUGAUAGCAAACCAGCACUAGAAUAAACAGAAGAUGGAGCAAGGACUAGUGUUGCUUCCAGAUAAAGGGGGAGGAGUGGAGCACUACACUAGAAACAAAAGGAAAUUAAAAGAGGCAAAAUUCACCAAAAAAUAAUAAAAUAAUGGAGGACCAAGUGAGUUGGAAUCCCGAAGCUACAUGCAGCGGCCACCUAACCAUGUCGAAUUAGCUAGGGCUCAAUCUUUUUUGGGGCAUGUUGAUUUGGGUUCAGUUCUUGGCCUCUUGCUGCAAUGCAGCAGCGUUGCCUUCGUUCGAAUUUAUAAAUUUUCAAAAGUACUAGGAGUAGUUGAUUUGUUUGAUUUUGUUUUCUAACUUUUGAGUUGUUGCCCUUGGUAGCUUUAGCCAACACUUCGCAUUGAUUCAGAAAAUCAAGAAAAGGGGAGAACAUCAUGAGCACUCCUUUUGCCAAAUUUUGUUAGUCUCCGUACUAGGUAAUGGACUUGCACAUAUGUACUCCAUGAAGCCCGGAAAAAGUAUGAAAACAAGAGCAUCAAUUCGAUGCAUCACAUAUCAUUAUUACUACUAAUGUGCAAGAAUAUUUUUUUUAAAAGAAAAUGAAACUUGACAGUGACUUAAAAGGGGGCAAAAGCGUACUGAAUUGAACGACUACAUGCAUCGCAAUUGCAUAUGCCAAUUGUUUAGUGGUGGUAAUAGUAGAGCAAGCCAGCUAGGGAAGGAGAAGAUAUUACCUGCGUGUCGUAGCCCUGCGGCAGCUGGGAGAUGAAGUUGUGGGCGUUGGCAG